rnacentral:rRNA from 1 species
UACGGGGGGGGCAAGCGUUGUUCGGAAUUACUGGGCGUAAAGGGCUCGUAGGCGGCCAACUAAGUCGGACGUGAAAUCCCUCGGCUUAACCGGGGAACUGCGUCUGAUACUGGAUGGCUUGAAUCCGGGAGAGGGAUGCGGAAUUCCAGGUGUAGCGGUGAAAUGCGUAGAUAUCGGGAGGAACACCUGUGGCGAAAGCGGCGCACUGGACCACAACUGACGCUGAGGCGCGAAAGCUAGGGGAGCAAACAGG